GAGUUUGAUCCUGGCUCAGGAUGAACGCUGGCGGCGUGCUUAACACAUGCAAGUCGAACGAAGCACUUUAUUUGAUUUCCUUCGGGACUGAUUAUUUUGUGACUGAGUGGCGGACGGGUGAGUAACGCGUGGGUAACCUGCCUUGUACAGGGGGAUAACAGUUGGAAACGGCUGCUAAUACCGCAUAAGCGCACAGCAUCGCAUGAUGCAGUGUGAAAAACUCCGGUGGUAUAAGAUGGACCCGCGUCUGAUUAGCUGGUUGGUGAGGUGACGGCCCACCAAGGCGACGAUCGGUAGCCGACCUGAGAGGGUGAUCGGCCACAUUGGAACUGAGAGACGGUCCAAACUCCUACGGGAGGCAGCAGUGGGGAAUAUUGCACAAUGGGGGAAACCCUGAUGCAGCGACGCCGCGUGAAGGAUGAAGUAUUUCGGUAUGUAAACUUCUAUCAGCAAGGAAGAUAAUGACGGUACUUGACUAAGAAGCCCCGGCUAAAUACGUGCCAGCCGCCGCGGUAAUAC
rnacentral:rRNA from 1 species